rnacentral:rRNA from 1 species
UACGUAGGUGGCAAGCGUUGUCCGGAUUUAUUGGGUUUAAAGGGUGCGUAGGCGGCUUUAUAAGUCAGUGCUGAAAUAUCCCGGCUUAACCGGGAGGGUGGCAUUGAUACUGCAGAGCUUGAGUGAAGUCGAGGUAGGCGGAAUUGACGGUGUAGCGGUGAAAUGCUUAGAUAUCGUCAAGAACACCGAUAGUGAAGACAGCUUACUAGACUUCAACUGACGCUGAGGCACGAAAGUGUGGGGAUCAAACAGGA